AUGAGAAACCUGAAUGCCAGCAGUCUUACAAUGAAGCCUACAAUAACCCCAUUCUCUGCUCUCCUGGCUAUAGGCUUCUGCACCUACUUCACAGAGUUAUACUGCAGAAGGACAAACAGCCAGUGUGUUUAAGUCCUCACGGGAGGCAAGGCAACAGACUGUUAAAAUGCUGGUUCAAGAAGCAGGAGGAAGGCAAGGAUGGGAAGACAUGUAUCGGACGACUGAAAAAAAAGGCCUGGAAGCGCCGUCCGCAGCAAACCUAAGAAGGAGAGAUCAAGCCCAGUGUAAUUGGAUGGUUGCUAAAACACACUAUUGCAAAUUGUCUGCACUCUGCUGUGGCAGUCCUGAAGUGAUAUGAUAUGCAAAGUCUGGAUCACAGACCAGACAUUCUGCUAGAAGGGCUAGCCCCCACUGAGAGGUAUAAUGAGGAGCCGUAUAAAAUGAAGGGGGUCACAUGUCAAUACUGUCAAAACCUUCUGCCAAAUACAGUCUUGUCUUGGCCAGAAGUUUUAUUUACUUUAUACUUUAUAUUUUUUAAAGUUAUUUUGUAAUGUUUUUAUAACAAAUUAUUAAAAAACAUCUGUGGAAAUGUUAUCUGCACUCCAGAACCUCCCCAUGGCAUUAGAAACAGUUGUAGAAAAAGUUGCAAAAAGUUGUACUACAGAGUUCAUGUAAAAUGGCUUCAUAUUCCUUGGCCAUCAUGACUAUGCAGAGCAUUACGCAGAACUACUAACUCCAACAACACUUUGUCCUCAUCAUUUCCCUUUAAAAUGCUGAUGAAAUACCCAUCAGCAUUUAAAGGACCCUUCCAUUACUUUAAUAGUUCAAGCUGUUAAAUGUGGUCUUUGGUGACCACAUUAAAGGGUAGUGGGAUUGAUUCAACAUAAGUACAUUUUAGGAAUAGAAUAUGAUCAAAAGGCACAACAAACUUAUGGGAUUUCCAUAUUAGAACAGCAAAAAAGUGGAAAAGCUGUUUAUAAGUGUCAGCAGGUGCAAUAAAAUACUUAAUAUUUUAUCAAAUAUAUUAUCUGAUUUGUUACAUUCAUAUAUAUUCACCUCCAAUUUGAAAAACUGCCCUUGCACCUAUACUCUGUGGUGAUUUUUAUUAGGCACACCUUAUAACUAUAUUGUAAAAGGUACAAUUACAGAUUACAUCUCACAUGUUGACACAUUCCACUCUAUUAAUUACUGGUCAGUUACAGACAGGUGUUACUGUGACAUAGACAUGGUAAUGUCAUUGCAGUGGGAAUUUUUACAUAUGUCAAUGUCACUGCUAGAUUAUAAAUUGUCUGCCAUAUAAAAACAUUCUGCCAUCUUUAGUGAUAAGAGGUUCAGACACACUGAUGUAGAACUGGAUGAUACCAGUGAAAUGAGUAGAGUGUAAACAUGACAACUGUCCUAACUUCAUUACUGCAUUCUGCUAUCUGCUUUUGUCUAGCCUACUGUGAUAUAACCUCCUUCCCCUCUCCAGUGACUUGCCAUUUGUGUGGUGUUGUGGAUGAGCACUUUCUGAGUCAUGAUCAGAAAAGUAGAUGAAAGAAUGUAAAACAAAUAAGAAUAAAAUGGAGCUCAUAUUUAAUAGCUACCAACUGAUACUGUAGGCUGAAGGCAUGUUUAGGCUUUUGUAAUCAUAACCAUGUCUGAAUGUAGGAAAACUUGUAGGAAAUAUAGGAAAAAAGGUCAAAAAGACUAUAUAUAUUACUUGGGACCAUAUUAUUUGUACUGGCUUUUAAUGUAGUUUGUCUUGUCCACAACCUGAAAAUAUAGUAUCAUAGCAAAAUAUAUAAUUGAUCUGUAGUGUUGUCUUUUAUCUAAUGUCUACUGAAUCAUGAAAAGUUUGCAAUUAAGAGAUUGGGAUGCUCAUCACAAC
ensembl:lncRNA